rnacentral:rRNA from 1 species
AAUCUUCCGCAAUGGACGCAAGUCUGACGGAGCAACGCCGCGUGAACGAUGAAGGUCUNCGGAUCNUNAAGUUCUGUUGUUAGGGNCGAAUGGGUGUGGGAGUAACUGUUCAUACUUUGACGGUACCUGACGAGAAAGCCACGGCUAACUACGUGCCAGCAGCCGCGGUAAUACGUAGGUGGCAAGCGUUGUCCGGAAUUAUUGGGCGUAAAGCGCGCGCAGGCGGUCUUUUAAGUCUGAUGUGAAAUCUUGCGGCUUAACCGUAAGCGGUCAUUGGAAACUGGGAGACUUGAGUACAGAAGAGGAGAGUGGAAUUCCACGUGUAGCGGUGGAAUGCGUAGAGAUGUGGAGGAACACCAGUGGCGAAGGCGACUCUCUGGUCUGUGACUGACGCUGAGGCGCGAAAGCGUGGGGAGCAAAC